rnacentral:lncRNA from 7 species
ACGCUGCGUCGGCGCUCCAAAGUUCCAGGCAAGCACACUUCCUCCCCUGCUCUCCACCUCAUUCUGGUUCCCAUUGCUAGGGUUUGUCGUGCUAGGGUUUAGGUCGCUCCUUCUCCACCACCUGGCCGCCCACCCUCCACCUCUCGUGCUUCCCGGACGCCGCGGCCGCCGAGACGAGGGCCAGGAGCAGGAGCCACCGAGCAGUCGUCGCCACCGCCAUAAACCAAACUAACUAAGGCAGCUAGAAUCUCUGCUUUGAGUUCUUCCCCGUCACCGCACGGGCUGCGAUCUCUGCUUUUUUUGGUUCCCCAAUCCCAUUCCGUGUCCUCAUGCUGCCAUUUUGGGGUUCAAGGUUCGUCGUCAGGUUCCUGUGCUUUAAUGUCAAUAUUGGUAUGGGUGAUACUGAAGUUAAUGCCAGCAGUUAUUGUCCAAUGAGCUCGGCGAGAUGAUAAGGAAAUAAGUGCAGUUUUUUUUAAGCGGCAUUCCCGUUUUUAUAAUAGUUGACAGUGACAGAUAAUGCUUGCUGGAAAACAAGGUCACUGUGGUAUAACUUCAGAGGUUAUUGCCAGAAGUUACGGAUUGCAGGUUUGGUUAGAUCCAUGGAUCGUGAAAAUUUUGUCAUUGUACUGUGCUUUUUCAUGAUAGGCUGUUGAACUAGAACUGGUUUGCUGUGUCUUUGUAACUUAGUUACCAGAGUAUUAUUGUUCAGUCAGGUCAAGUGAUGGGAUAAAGUGGUGUAGUCUACUGUACUGUACUUUUAAAUGACAGCUGCUGGAACAAAUGAUGUUGUGCAGGAAAUCAAAAUGCCAUAGUUUCACGGGAUAGACGGAUCAGCUUGGUCUGGGGAUGUCGUCAGGUUCCUGUGCUUUUUUCCCAAUAUCUUUGCUUCCGCCAGAUCCUAGAUCCAGUGUCUUUCGUCGGCUGGCUUUGUUUGCGCCGCUGAAGAACAACAAUAGUCAGCCAAUAUCUAGUCCAAAGUCCAAGCGCCGCCUUAAGUUUAGUUGGUUCACCAUGCAGCGUGGAUGGACGGUCAAUUUCUUCGUCCGUCGCCCAACCGGCAGCAACACAUACGCGAUGAUUUGAUUGGUUCCUUGUGUCCUAAAUGAAGGCAGGUUGUCUGAAGAUCUGGAAUCUCCAGUUUCAUCCAAGUUAUUAUGUUUUUCAUUUUAUUCAAUUAUCUCCCCUGCUUCUUUAUCACUCCUAUUUUCUAGAUGACAUAUACAUAAAAACAGGAUGGUCUUUGUUGGCUUCCUGCUACUGCAUAUAACAUACUAAUUUCGCUAAAGAAUAUAUGUAUGUACCUUAACUGUGGCAGCUACUGAUUUGGAUUUUUCUUCAAAACAGGUCAGGAGAGGCUAGAGUUCCAAAUCGUAGUUCGUGUGAACCAGUGUGAACCAGUUGAAUCUCAUCAAUCUUAUCAAGUCAUCUAAUAAAAAAAGGUUUCAUUUUUUCCCAAAAAAUAGUGCAUCUGAUCUUUCCAUUAAUAUAUAGUGUUGUAUUUAGACGUUCAUAUAGUUCCCUACUGCAUUUAACUCAUCCAUAAGCUAGAUGCAUCUAUGAAUCUAUUUAUAAAUUGCUGCUACUAUUUUUUUCCAUUGCAUAAAUAUAAAGAUGCUUUCUUCAUAUUUACCCAUGUCUGUCAUCAUGCGGUAAUUGACUAAUUCCUUAUGUACAGGUUUCUUCGUAUUUACCCAUACCUCUCAUCACAUGAUCAUUUUAUUACUCUGAUGUAUGUCCUGUUUAUUACAAAGGAAUAGAUAAAUAUUAGGUCAGUAGUAACUAUUUCCUUCAGCAAUUUCAUUUACAACAUCAGCCACAAAUUUCUGAAAUUGUGUGCAAGCAUCCCAAGUGAGAAUAACUGUUUUAGGAUGCCUAGGCUCUUAUGAAAAUUAGUUUGUCUGAACAUGCAUUCAUAAAUGAUGUUCAGUGAAGUAUCUGCACAAUACAUAUAGAGACUUUAGCCUGACGUGAAAAGGCUAAAUCAGUUUUGUUAGUUGCAUGUAUGCUUCAAAGUUCUAUAAGCUAUAACUAAAGAGAUUUGGACAGCAAGCUGUCGUACUAAAUAAACUCACAUGUUUUCUGUUUGCCGGAACUAUUCUCUCCGAGUAACAACCACUCUACCAAAAUCAUGGAAGACAAACCUCGGUACCAUCUUCAAUGCUCAACUUUGUAGUCACCUUAAUAUGUAGCCGCCAUUGUAUCUUUGAAAUUUACCUUUGUAGUCACCCUUAAUAUGUCAGAAUUCUCAGUGACAAACACGGUACAAAACUUCUUACAUAAUAAUGUCUUCAAGUUUCUGUGAACCAUCUUGAAGAUACGUAACAUAAUGAAACAUAUUUGACAGGUUCGACGCGUCUUAGAGUUCUACGAUGCAUCCAAGAAUUCAGAGGAUGAAGCACACCCAGGUUAACAAAGCCAUUCCAGAUUCUACAUGUUCCAAGAAUGACAACAGUUAGACCAUCCUGAAAUACAUCAAGGUUGGGCGGCUUCCGAAGUCAUUCAGACCUGCGUCCGAGCCUACAUCAUCAUUUGGUUUGAAUCGCGGAACGAUGUCGUUCGUCACUGCGUUGUUCUAAUAACAAACUAACAUGUGAGAUCAGCUCACUCCGCAAUAAAGUGCAGGACCGCUCCAUCCGGAGCCAGACCACGAUGGAUGAGCCAAACCAUCAGACCAAACACGCUAUUAGUACCUGCUUGUCGUGAUCAGAGGGAAAGAUAAAAUAAACAUAUUGUAUGUUAUUGUUUCUCUCUUUUCAAAAAAUGUUAUUUGUUUUAUGAUCCU